AGCGGUCAAAUUGAGAUUGGAAUAUAAAGCCAGAGGAGGGGGAAUGAGGAUCAUGAAUUGGCGGAAGGGAUGUGUCAUGGCGGCGGUGAUUGAAUAAAGUAAUAAAAUACUGAGAAGAGAUAAGAAAACACCAGCUCUUGCAUACCAAUUUCAACCGGAUAGCUGUUCUGCUGGGGAGCCUGGCCAGGAUUUCAAUUAACAAAGCAUCGCGCUCGCC